CAACUUAUAAGCUGAAAACAACCCAACUUAUUUUUUUUGGCUAAAAACAGCUUAUAAGCUACUUUUUUUAAGCCCAUCCAAACAGGCUCAUAGCAAUGAAACAAAUGAACCCUAACGCGAACCUAGCUGGCUGAAGCAUUUUUUGGACAAAAUUCAAGCUAGUUUUAUCAUCUCCAGUUCUUGCUCGGCCGUUUAAGGUUGGUUCGUCGUCGUUGGUGGAAAGUGAUCAACUCCACUCUCGUCGCCCUCGUUGCUCCUCGGCAAAAAGGUAAUCUUCUCCUUCUAUUUCGCAGUUCUGUUUUUCUUUCAUUUUGUUACUGUUUGUAAUUUCUGUUUGGGUUUUGAUGUUAUUCUAGUUCUAUCUUUGAUGUGUUUAUAUUAGUCCUUUCUUCAUCUCAUUUAGAUUCAGUAUGGUUUAGUUAAUAAAUUUCAUGGAUGUUCUAGUUUUGCUAUUGUACGAGUGUAAAGCAUGAGUUGUUUACAGUUUUCUGAGGCACUCUAUCUGUUCAUUGUGAUUAUGGAUCAAGUAGAUUAUUCUUGUGCUGAGAUUGUGUGUAUUGUUCAAGUUUAAUAUUCUGUAAAACCUGUUUUCAUCUACUGUUAAGGUUGUGACAAACAUAACCUUUUAUGUCUUUAAUCAUGUUUAAAUUUUUUGUACAUUGUUGUAACUGUUUCUAGUAUGGUUGAGGACAGGUUGUUUGUGUCUCAUGUAUCCACUUCAACUAUCUCACUAAAUAUUUAUUAGACUCAAGGUUUAUGUUCAAAUGUAACAUAGCUAAAACAUAUCUGUUGUGCAUAGCUUAGUUAUUAUUUCUUCAUAAGCUAAAAUUUUUAGUGCUAGUUAGUUUUAUCCAUAAUUUUGUUUGAGUUUUUUUGUAAGUUGAAGCUUCCUUUUAGGAAGGGCAUAUGCCUUCGUUCCCCUAUUCAAGUCUUAUGUGCUUAUUUUUUGUGAAUGAAGUAAUGAAUAUUAGCUUGCCGUCCUUUAUGUGACUAUAAAUAUGUUGAAUGUUGGUUGAGUGUAGUGCAAGACCUGUUAAGGGAUUUCAUGAAGGUUGUGCUGUGAUUUCUUUCCCCUUUAGGCAGCUGCUGUUAAUGCUUGUUCUGUUAUGAAAUGGUCACUGAUUCUGUCCUAAAUUCUCUUUAAAAAUAACUGAACCAGAUACUUAAGCUUCUGUUCUUUAGGCUAAAAGAAUAAGUAUGUGCUCAUCUACUUUUGAAAUCUGAACUUUAGUUUUUAUUUAAUAUGUUAAACACGACUAAGUUAUCGUAAUAUUUCAAUAGUUGAAACAUUUCAUAUUCUCUUGAUAGUAUCCUGCCAAUGUCUUUACUUUUGGAUACUCAUCCUUCACCCCUCUUUUCUUUGCAUGACCUGGGGAGUUUCAAAUCCCAUAUGUCUUGAAGUAUUUCAUGGAUGAGCUGCUUCCUUUAAAAGAGUGGAUACUGCAUCCGAACUAAGGGCAGUAUUGCUGCAUUUUUUGGCUGCCAUUCGAUGCCUAUUUCGAGACGAAAUGUAGUUGCACUUGACUGUUGUAUUUGAGGCCUACAAAUGAUAUGUUUAAGGGAGUGGUUGUCGCAUUUUAUGGACUGAUAUUGAGGUUGAAGUUGCUGCACUUUGAUCAGAUUUGGUUUUCAUUACUGCUGUCUUUAGCCUAACUGUUGCUGGUUUCUUGGGCUAAAUACCUGCUGCUUUAAGGUUGUUUUGGGACAGUUGUUGUGCUCCUGAUGUUUUAUUGAUUUGAACAUGAUACUACACUUAGGGAACUGCUGAGUUUUAAAAGAAACAGAUGCUAUACUUGAUGAGAGUAUAACGCUAAGCUUAAUGAAGCAGCUGCUACCUUGCAACUACUUUCCUGUUGCCUACAGCUGAGUUUAUACAUUUAGUAUGAGUUGAUUUUCUCAACACAACUGCUGGUGUUAUGAGGCUCAAAAUGAUGUACUUUUGGCUGCUAUGUUCAGUUGUUUGCUAUGGCAUUUUGAACUGUAUUUUUAGGCAGCCUUGAAGUCAGAUGUUGUCACUCCCCAAAGGCAUGUUGUUGUUUUGUUCUUGCCCUUUGCUGCUGCAAACUUGUGGCCAAAAGUUGUUGAAUAUGGUUACUUUGUGCUUGAGUUGUUUUGAUGAAUAAGGUAAUGGCUGUUAGGAGAAUAGCCACAAUGUUUAGAAGCUGAUGUUGGUUGAUAAGAGCUGUUGUACCAUUUUCGGAAUGAGCAAAUGUUGCACUGUGAUCUUCACUUUGAUAUGAGCAAAUACUUCCCCAUUUGAUACUUA